GGGAAUUAUUGGGGCGUAAGAGCUCGUAGGUGGUUGGUCACGUCUGCUGUGGAAACGCAACGCUUAACGUUGCGCGGGCAGUGGGUACGGGCUGACUAGAGUGCAGUAGGGGAGUCUGGAAUUCCUGGUGUAGCGGUGAAAUGCGCAGAUAUCAGGAGGAACACCGGUGGCGAAGGCGGGACUCUGGGCUGUAACUGACACUGAGGAGCGAAAGCAUGGGGAGCGAACAGGAUUAGAUACCCUGGUAGUCCAUGCCGUAAACGUUGGGCACUAGGUGUGGGGGACAUUCCACGUUCUCCGCGCCGUAGCUAACGCAUUAAGUGCCCCGCCUGGGGAGUACGGCCGCAAGGCCAAAACUCAAAGGAAUUGACGGGGGCCCGCACAAGCGGCGGAGCAUGCGGAUUAAUUCGAUGCAACGCGAAGAACCUUACCAAGGCUUGACAUACACCAGACCGUUCUGGAAACAGUUCUUCCCCUUUGGGGUUGGUGUACAGGUGGUGCAUGGUUGUCGUCAGCUCGUGUCGUGAGAUGUUGGGUUAAGUCCCGCAACGAGCGCAACCCUCGUUCUAUGUUGCCAGCACGUGAUGGUGGGAACUCAUAGGAGACUGCCGGGGUCAACUCGGAGGAAGGUGGGGAUGACGUCAAAUCAUCAUGCCCUUUAUGUCUUGGGCUUCACGCAUGCUACAAUGGCCGGUACAGAGAGAGGCGAGCCCGUGAGGGUGAGCGAAUCUCUUAAAGCCGUUCUCAGUUCGGAUCGUAGUCUGCAAUUCGACUACGUGAAGUCGGAGUCGCUAGUAAUCGCAGAUCAGCAACGCUGCGGUGAAUACGUUCCCGGGGC
rnacentral:rRNA from 1 species